GACAGAGGGUGCGAGCGUUGUCCGGAAUCACUGGGCGUAAAGGGCGCGUAGGCGGCCUGAUAAGUCGGGGGUGAAAUCCUGUGGCUUAACCACAGGGCUGCCUCCGAGACUGUCGGGCUCGAGCACAGUAGAGGCAGGUGGAAUUCCCGGUGUAGCGGUGGAAUGCGUAGAGAUCGGGAAGAACAUCGGUGGCGAAGGCGGCCUGCUGGGCUGUUGCUGACGCUGAGGCGCGACAGCGUGGGGAGCAAACAGG
rnacentral:rRNA from 1 species